rnacentral:misc_RNA from 1 species
UACAGAGGGUGCAAGCGUUAAUCGGAAUUACUCGGCGUAAAGCGCGCGUAGGUGGUUUGUUAAGUUGAAUGUGAAAUCCCAGGGCUCAACCUGGGAACUGCAUCCAAAACUGGCACGCUAGAGUAUGGUAGAGGGUAGUGGAAUUUCCUGUGUAGCGGUGAAAUGCGUAGAUAUAGGAAGGAACACCAGUGGCGAAGGCGACUACCUGGACUGAUACUGACACUGAGGUGCGAAAGCGUGGGGAGCAAACAGG